UACGAAGGGGGCUAGCGUUGUUCGGAAUCACUGGGCGUAAAGGGCGCGUAGGCGGCCGAUCAAGUCGGGGGUGAAAGCCUGUGGCUCAACCACAGAAUUGCCUUCGAUACUGUUUGGCUUGAGACCGGAAGAGGUUAGUGGAACUGCGAGUGUAGAGGUGAAAUUCGUAGAUAUUGGGAAGAACACCGGUGGCGAAGGCGGCGACCUGGUCCGUGACUGACGCUGAGGCGCGAAAGCGUGGGGAGCAAACAGG
rnacentral:rRNA from 1 species